CCCUAUCAAAAAAGGGUAAUAUUUUUAGAAACCCUUAUCCUUUGACGGCCUUUUUUCUAAUCAAAGGAACUUGUUAACUAAUCGAAAUUACCCGCUCAAUCUCCCUUAUUUUAAGUUUUUAUACCGUCGCCUGAAGAGCACACUUAAAAGUGAACCCUCAAUUGACCAACCAACCAAGACAGAUCAAGGUGAAGCCUAUAGAUAAGAAAAUAAUGAGUUAUUUAUAAAAAUUAUUUAAGGAUUUUAUUUAAAAAAUAGAAUGAAUUAAGAUUUGAAUAUACCUGUAAGAAUAGUAAUCUACUGGGUAGGAGUAAAAAGAGGUGC
rnacentral:rRNA from 1 species